UAAGCGGAGGAAAAGAAACUAACAAGGAUUCCCCUAGUAACGGCGAGUGAACCGGGAAGAGCUCAAAUUUGAAAUCUGGCAGUCUUCGAUUGUCCGAGUUGUAAUCUAUAGAAGCGUUUUCCGUGCUGAACUGUGUAUAAGUCCCUUGGAACAGGGUAUCAAAGAGGGUGACAAUCCCGUACUUUACACAAUCAUCAGUGCUCUGUGAUACGUUCUCUACGAGUCGAGUUGUUUGGGAAUGCAGCUCAAAAUGGGUGGUAAAUUCCAUCUAAAGCUAAAUAUUGGCGAGAGACCGAUAGCGAACAAGUACCGUGAGGGAAAGAUGAAAAGCACUUUGGAAAGAGAGUUAAACAGUACGUGAAAUUGUUGAAAGGGAAACGAAAUUCAUGAAUCAUGUUUAUUGGACUCAGCCGUUCUUCGGUGUACUUCCUUUAAACGGGUCAACAUCAGUUUUGUCCGAUGGAUAAAGGUAGUAGGAAGGUGGCUCUCUCGGGAGUGUUAUAGCCUAUUGCUGCAUACAUUGGAUGAGACUGAGGACUGCAGCUUGCCUUUAUGGCCGGGGUUCGCCCACGUUCAAGCUUAGGAUGUUGAC
rnacentral:rRNA from 1 species